GCUUAACUGUGGGCCAGCGGUGGAAACUGAGGAACUAGAGUACGGUAGGGGUAGAGGGAAUUCCCAGUGUAGCGGUGAAAUGCGUAGAUAUUGGGAAGAACACCAGUGGCGAAGGCGCUCUACUGGGCCGUAACUGACGCUGAGGGACGAAAGCUAGGGGAGCGAAAGGGAUUAGAUACCCCUGUAGUCCUAGCUGUAAACGAUGGAUACUAGGUGUUGGAUGUAUCGACCCAUUCAGUACCGAAGCCAACGCGAUAAGUAUCCCGCCUGGGGAGUACGCACGCAAGUGUGAAACUCAAAGGAAUUGACGGGGGCCCGCACAAGCGGUGGAGUAUGUGGUUUAAUUCGAUGCAACGCGAAGAACCUUACCAGGGCUUGACAUCCCUCGAAUCUCUGAGAAAUUGGAGAGUGCCUUCGGGAGCGAGGAGACAGGUGGUGCAUGGCUGUCGUCAGCUCGUGUCGUGAGAUGUUGGGUUAAGUCCCGCAACGAGCGCAACCCACGUCCUUAGUUGCCAUCAUUAAGUUGGGCACUCUGGGGAGACUGCCGGGGACAACUCGGAGGAAGGUGUGGAUGACGUCAAGUCAUCAUGCCCCUUACGUUCUGGGCUACACACGUACUACAAUGCUUCGGACAAAGAGCAGCCAAUCGGCGACGAUGAGCUAAUCUCAUAAACCGAGGCACAGUUCAGAUUGCAGGCUGCAACUCGCCUGCA
rnacentral:rRNA from 1 species